rnacentral:lncRNA from 1 species
GAAUAAUCCUUUAUCCCUUUUAUACCCAAACGCUAGUGGAUAUCUAAAAUAAGCUAGUAUAACUAUCCCCACCAGCACCUCCAUUUUCUAUAUAUAAAUACCCACUAUUUUUCUUAUUCCAUAUUAUCUAUCUAAACACUAUUUUUCUUAUUUCCUGGAACAAUCCAAAUUUUAUCCAAACACUUUUUUUUAUCCUCAUAUUUGUAUCUAUCUCUGUAAUAGCUAGUUCUUGCUUAAUUAUACUCGAACCAAACGGUGGAAAAUGUUA